GGGCGCUUAGCUCAGUUGGCUAGAGCAUCGGCCUUACAAGCCGAGGGUCAUAGGUUCGAGUCCUAUAGCGCCCA
rnacentral:tRNA from 1 species